GACGAACCGUGCGAACGUUAUUCGGAAUUACUGGGCGUAAAGCGCACGUAGGCGGAUUUGUAAGUCAGGGGUGAAAUCCCGGGGCUCAACCUCGGAACUGCCUUUGAUACUGCAAAUCUCGAGUCCGGAAGAGGUGAGUGGAAUUCCUAGUGUAGAGGUGAAAUUCGUAGAUAUUAGGAAGAACACCAGUGGCGAAGGCGGCUCACUGGUCCGGUACUGACGCUGAGGUGCGAAAGCGUGGGGAGCAAACAGG
rnacentral:rRNA from 1 species